rnacentral:misc_RNA from 1 species
CGUUUCCAUUGGAGAAUGGCAUGGACAUUGAUGAAAGUUAUGACUUUGAAAAGUGUAUCGGUUUGCAAGUAAAACCACGCCAAGGGGAUGGACUUCUAUUCUAUUCGCUAUUCCCAAAUAAUACAAUUGAUCCGGUAAGUAUUUGUCAAUUCUGUAAGUUUAAGCUGAAUACCACAACGCAUAGCGUACAUCAAAGCCAUCAACUGCAUAUUAAGUCCAAAUUAAAAAGGUAUUAGGAUUAAGAAUUAGUAUCAUUCUCAAAGGGUGGAGAAGUGGAAGAUUGGUAUUUAGGUUCGGAAAGAGUCCAGUGCUGAUUAGGUGCGAGAUUCUCUGUUGCUUUCUCUCCUCUGAUUGAAAGGAGUCCCCAAAAACAAAGACCAAUAGUAAUUUCCCCAAGAUGGAGAUCACCAGUAACUUUCCCCCCUUUAUUUUAUAGCAUAGAUUUUGGUCAGUUGGAUUUGUGGGCUAUGUUACGUUUAAAGAGCCUAUUUGAUGAACAACAGUUUAUAAGGUGUUGGGCAAUUGCAAAAUGGUAUUGUUUUUGAUGUUCAUUAUUGCAUGGAAAUGUAUUGUUUCCUAUUGAUUUUCUUUAUGGUUAUAAUGGUUAUGUGUUUUUGGAUGCUUUGGCAGACAUCGCUGCAUGGAAGCUGUCCAGUAAUCAAAGGG